GGGUUGUGAGGUUAAGCGACUAAGCGUACACGGUGGAUGCCCUGGCAGUCAGAGGCGAUGAAGGACGUGCUAAUCUGCGAAAAGCGUCGGUAAGGUGAUAUGAACCGUUAUAACCGGCGAUGUCCGAAUGGGGAAACCCAGUGCAAUUCGUUGCACUAUCGUUAACUGAAUACAUAGGUUAACGAGGCGAACCGGGGGAACUGAAACAUCUAAGUACCCCGAGGAAAAGAAAUCAACCGAGAUUCCCCCAGUAGCGGCGAGCGAACGGGGAGCAGCCCAGAGUCUGAAUCAGCUUGUGUGUUAGUGGAACGGUCUGGAAAGUCCGACGGUACAGGGUGAUAGUCCCGUACACCAAAAUGCACAGGCUGUGAACUCGAAGAGUAGGGCGGGACACGUGGUAUCCUGUCUGAAUAUGGGGGGACCAUCCUCCAAGGCUAAAUACUCCUGACUGACCGAUAGUGAACCAGUACCGUGAGGGAAAGGCGAAAAGAACCCCGGCGAGGGGAGUGAAAAAGAACCUGAAACCGUGUACGUACAAGCAGUGGGAGCACCUUCGGGUGUGACUGCGUACCUUUUGUAUAAUGGGUCAGCGACUUAUAUUCUGUAGCAAGGUUAACCGUAUAGGGGAGCCGCAGGGAAACCGAGUCUUAACUGGGCGUUAAGUUGCAGGGUAUAGACCCGAAACCCGGUGAUCUAGCCAUGGGCAGGUUGAAGGUUGGGUAACACUAACUGGAGGACCGAACCGACUAAUGUUGAAAAAUUAGCGGAUGACUUGUGGCUGGGGGUGAAAGGCCAAUCAAACCGGGAGAUAGCUGGUUCUCCCCGAAAGCUAUUUAGGUAGCGCCUCGUGAAUUCAUCUUCGGGGGUAGAGCACUGUUUCGGCUAGGGGGUCAUCCCGACUUACCAACCCGAUGCAAACUACGAAUACCGAAGAAUGUUAUCACGGGAGACACACGGCGGGUGCUAACGUCCGUCGUGAAGAGGGAAACAACCCAGACCGCCAGCUAAGGUCCCAAAGUCAUGGUUAAGUGGGAAACGAUGUGGGAAGGCACAGACAGCCAGGAUGUUGGCUUAGAAGCAGCCAUCAUUUAAAGAAAGCGUAAUAGCUCACUGGUCGAGUCGGCCUGCGCGGAAGAUGUAACGGGGCUAAACCAUGCACCGAAGCUGCGGCAGCGACACUAUGUGUUGUUGGGUAGGGGAGCGUUCUGUAAGCCUGCGAAGGUGUGCUGUGAGGCAUGCUGGAGGUAUCAGAAGUGCGAAUGCUGACAUAAGUAACGAUAAAGCGGGUGAAAAGCCCGCUCGCCGGAAGACCAAGGGUUCCUGUCCAACGUUAAUCGGGGCAGGGUGAGUCGACCCCUAAGGCGAGGCCGAAAGGCGUAGUCGAUGGGAAACAGGUUAAUAUUCCUGUACUUGGUGUUACUGCGAAGGGGGGACGGAGAAGGCUAUGUUAGCCGGGCGACGGUUGUCCCGGUUUAAGCAUGUAGGCUGAUUGUCCAGGCAAAUCCGGAUAAUCAAGGCUGAGGUGUGAUGACGAGGCACUACGGUGCUGAAGUAACAAAUGCCCUGCUUCCAGGAAAAGCCUCUAAGCAUCAGGUAACAUUAAAUCGUACCCCAAACCGACACAGGUGGUCAGGUAGAGAAUACCAAGGCGCUUGAGAGAACUCGGGUGAAGGAACUAGGCAAAAUGGUGCCGUAACUUCGGGAGAAGGCACGCUGGUGUGUAGGUGAAGCCCCUGCGGGUGGAGCUGAGACCAGUCGAAGAUACCAGCUGGCUGCAACUGUUUAUUAAAAACACAGCACUGUGCAAACACGAAAGUGGACGUAUACGGUGUGACGCCUGCCCGGUGCCGGAAGGUUAAUUGAUGGGGUUAUCCGUAAGGAGAAGCUCUUGAUCGAAGCCCCGGUAAACGGCGGCCGUAACUAUAACGGUCCUAAGGUAGCGAAAUUCCUUGUCGGGUAAGUUCCGACCUGCACGAAUGGCGUAAUGAUGGCCAGGCUGUCUCCACCCGAGACUCAGUGAAAUUGAACUCGCUGUGAAGAUGCAGUGUACCCGCGGCAAGACGGAAAGACCCCGUGAACCUUUACUAUAGCUUGACACUGAACAUUGAGCCUUGAUGUGUAGGAUAGGUGGGAGGCUUUGAAGCGUGGACGCCAGUCUGCGUGGAGCCAACCUUGAAAUACCACCCUUUAAUGUUUGAUGUUCUAACGUUGGCCCCUGACCGGGGUUGCGGACAGUGUCUGGUGGGUAGUUUGACUGGGGCGGUCUCCUCCCAAAGCGUAACGGAGGAGCACGAAGGUUAGCUAAUCCUGGUCGGACAUCAGGAGGUUAGUGCAAUGGCAUAAGCUAGCUUGACUGCGAGCGUGACGGCGCGAGCAGGUGCGAAAGCAGGUCAUAGUGAUCCGGUGGUUCUGAAUGGAAGGGCCAUCGCUCAACGGAUAAAAGGUACUCCGGGGAUAACAGGCUGAUACCGCCCAAGAGUUCAUAUCGACGGCGGUGUUUGGCACCUCGAUGUCGGCUCAUCACAUCCUGGGGCUGAAGUAGGUCCCAAGGGUAUGGCUGUUCGCCAUUUAAAGUGGUACGCGAGCUGGGUUUAGAACGUCGUGAGACAGUUCGGUCCCUAUCUGCCGUGGGCGCUGGAGAAUUGAGGGGGGCUGCUCCUAGUACGAGAGGACCGGAGUGGACGCAUCACUGGUGUUCGGGUUGUCAUGCCAAUGGCACUGCCCGGUAGCUAAAUGCGGAAGAGAUAAGUGCUGAAAGCAUCUAAGCACGAAACUUGCCCCGAGAUGAGUUCUCCCUGAGACUUUAAGUCUCCUGAAGGAACGUUAAAGACGAUGACGUUGAUAGGCCGGGUGUGUAAGCGCAGCGAUGCGUUGAGCUAACCGGUACUAAUGAACCGUGAGGCUUAACCUUACAACGCCGAAG
rnacentral:rRNA from 1 species